rnacentral:rRNA from 1 species
GUCGAGCGGAUGAAGGGAGCUUGCUCCUGGAUUCAGCGGCGGACGGGUGAGUAAUGCCUAGGAAUCUGCCUGGUAGUGGGGGAUAACGUCCGGAAACGGGCGCUAAUACCGCAUACGUCCUGAGGGAGAAAGUGGGGGAUCUUCGGACCUCACGCUAUCAGAUGAGCCUAGGUCGGAUUAGCUAGUUGGUGGGGUAAAGGCCUACCAAGGCGACGAUCCGUAACUGGUCUGAGAGGAUGAUCAGUCACACUGGAACUGAGACACGGUCCAGACUCCUACGGGAGGCAGCAGUGGGGAAUAUUGGACAAUGGGCGAAAGCCUGAUCCAGCCAUGCCGCGUGUGUGAAGAAGGUCUUCGGAUUGUAAAGCACUUUAAGUUGGGAGGAAGGGCAGUAAGUUAAUACCUUGCUGUUUUGACGUUACCAACAGAAUAAGCACCGGCUAACUUCGUGCCAGCAGCCGCGGUAAUACGAAGGGUGCAAGCGUUAAUCGGAAUUACUGGGCGUAAAGCGCGCGUAGGUGGUUCAGCAAGUUGGAUGUGAAAUCCCCGGGCUCAACCUGGGAACUGCAUCCAAAACUACUGA